CGGAGGGUGCAAGCGUUAUCCGGAAUCAUUGGGUUUAAAGGGUCCGCAGGCGGAAGUAUAAGUCAGUGGUGAAAGCCUACAGCUCAACUGUAGAACUGCCAUUGAUACUGUACUUCUUGAAUUUGGUCGAAGUGGGCGGAAUAUGACAUGUAGCGGUGAAAUGCUUAGAUAUGUCAUAGAACACCGAUAGCGAAGGCAGCUCACUAGUCCAGUAUUGACGCUCAUGGACGAAAGCGUGGGGAGCAAACAGGAUUAGAUACCCUGGUAGUCCACGCCGUAAACUAUCAAUACUCGUUUUCAGCGAUAUACUGUUGGAGACUAAGCGAAAGUGAUAAGUAUUGCACCUGGGGAGUACGAUCGCAAGGUUG
rnacentral:rRNA from 1 species